rnacentral:miRNA from 1 species
GGAUGAUGGUGGUGAUGAUGAUGGUGGUGGUGGUGGUGACAGUGAUUUUGAACAUCACCAUUGACCUCACCACCACCAGUAUCAUCAUCAUCACAA